GCAGCAAACGAUGGUGAAGUCUAAGACUGCCUGAGACAGGGACUGAGACUAUCUACCAAACUUACCGAAGUGUUAGGAGCUUUAUAAGUUGCUGAUGAUGGCAUGAGAAAAAAAAUUUGACCCUGUGACACAAAGUAACCAAACGAUGGUGAAGUCUGAGACUGCCUGUAGAUAGCGAUGGUGAUCCAAGCAACUAUAAAAAGCAUGGCUUUGUGGGUAUUUCAGAGCAGACGAACCUUAACCUCCAACUACAAAAUCCAAAUAUUUCAACCAUGUUUGCCGUGUUGUUCAUGCUGUUUACCACCAUCAUCGCACCACUAAUUCCAACCCUCUCUUCAGAACCACCACCACCACCCUCCCUUACUCAGCCUCCACCACCGACAGUGCCAGCAUUUGAGAAUCCUCCAAUCCCACAAUUUCCCCCAUGUUGUCCCCCUUUCACUCCAUCACCACCAGAUGACUACAUAUGGCCUGCACGAAGUCAACCACAAUCAGUAUCCGUGUGGUUCGUGCUGGGGUGGAUCUUGGCUCUAAUAAUAGGAAUUACCUUAAUCGCAUGGACGAUUUACAUUUGCCGCCUAAAAAUAAUAGGGCCGAAAGGGGACAAAGGGGACCAAGGGGAACAAGGGAAGCAAGGGCCGAAAGGGGACAAAGGGGACAAAGGGGACAAAGGCGAGAAGGGGCCGCCAGGGGAGAAGGGGCCGAAAGGGGAGAAAGGGGAUCCAGGCUGCAAGUGCCGCCACGGCUGCGGCGAGUGCAAUUGUUAGCUACAAGGAAAAGAUAACAUGGCCUUGGUAACUGACGGGCAUGUGCGAAUCUUGUGGAAUCAGCCAUCAUCUAAUAACAAAGACUGAUGUCAAAGUUUUGAAUUGAAUAUUGCAAAUGUUAUAUUCAAUCGUGGGUUUGCUGUGAGCUUUGAACAUUGGUUUUGAUGUGAUGUACUUGUAUGGUUUGGAAUAGUUGUUUUAAUUUGGAAUUAUAAUAUUUUGGCUUAUAAAUAAGGUUAGUGGUAUUUGUGGAAGUUUGGAGGUUAGUAUUUUGCGCUUGUUUUGAUAAUAAAUCAAACAAAGAGUAAAAAGCUUUUCAAUGGCAUGUGUUGCCUGAAAAAUGCUUUUAACAAGGUUGUUUGUGAUGCUUGGCCAUAUCCUUAGCUAUAUUCGAAAAGUGACUCUCUCAUUGAAUAAAAUGGAUUGUAUUGAAUA